rnacentral:lncRNA from 1 species
CUCCACGGUGAGUGUGGGGCCUGCUUAAGAUUCUCUCUUUCCUUCUCUCUCUCUCUCUCUCUCUAGGACCUGUGGCAAGAUCCUCAUUGAACAAAUGGUGUCUCAGAGACCUGAAAUGAGCCUCUCCUAGUCCAUAUUAGAGAGAUUGUACUGUUUGUUAGAGUAUCUGCUAGCAGUUGGAUAAAGCAAAAAGACAGGUAAGGAUAGUAAGGUUUAGUUUUCAAUUUAUUGGCAUUUUGCUUUUCUUUAUUCUUCCCAUUUCCCCUCUUUCCUAUUAGACUCUUCAUGGCAGCAUGUGGGCAGGUCCCUAGAGCCCCAUGACUCUCCCAGUCCUUUCUCCAAGACUGCUGUCCUUCACGCACACGUCACAGCCACACCCCCUGCACGUGGUGGCACAACAGGACAGUUAAGAACCGAGGUCAGGUCGCAGAAUUUGAAAAUGCUGAAUAACCCUGCAGCCAGUGAAGAAAUGGAAGGCCAGAGAUGUUGUGACUUGUGAUGUCUAUCAAAACACCUUCUGAAUAAUUAAGAGUUAAGUUGAAUGAGGAAGC